rnacentral:rRNA from 1 species
UACGGGGGGAGCAAGCGUUGUUCGGAUUUACUGGGCGUAAAGGGCGCGUAGGCGGCCAGCACAAGUCAGUUGUGAAAUCUCCGAGCUUAACUCGGAACGGUCAACUGAUACUGUGCGGCUAGAGUGCGGAAGGGGCAACUGGAAUUCUUGGUGUAGCGGUGAAAUGCGUAGAUAUCAAGAGGAACACCUGCGGCGAAGGCGGGUUGCUGGGCCGUAACUGACGCUGAGGAGCGAAAGCAUGGGGAGCGAACAGG